CGUGCGUCCGUCCGUACCGCGGCCCCGAGACGGCAGUUGGUGGGCAUGCUCCCUGCGUGCCCCGCACUGGCAUGGCUGCCGCCUUCACGAGAGUGACUGUAAUUCUCGGCUUCCGGUCGUAGCCGGCCGGCGCUCAUUUCUCUUGUGGAAGCUUAGUGGAGCCGGGGAAAGGUGCGCCGUGGACGGUGAGAGGGAACUGCGAGCAUCCGCGCCGGCUGCUAACGGGGAAGAUGGCUGAGGGCGAGCGGCAGCCGCCGCCAGAUUCUUCAGAGGACAUCCCUCCAGCUACUCAGAACUUUAUCAUUCCAAAAAAGGAGAUCCACACAGUUCCAGAUAUGGGCAAAUGGAAGCGCUCUCAGGCAUAUGCUGACUACAUCGGCUUUAUCCUUACCCUCAACGAAGGUGUGAAAGGGAAGAAGCUGACCUUCGACUACAAAGUCUCUGAGGCCAUUGAGAAGCUGGUAGCUCUUCUUGAUACGCUGGAUAGGUGGAUUGAUGAGACCCCGCCGGUGGACCAGCCUUCCCGAUUUGGGAACAAGGCCUACAGGACCUGGUAUGCCAAACUUGAUCAGGAAGCAGAGAACUUGGUGGCCACAGUGGUUCCCACCCACCUGUCGGCGGCUGUACCUGAAGUGGCAGUUUACUUGAAGGAGGCUGUGGGGAACUCCACUCGCAUUGACUAUGGCACAGGGCAUGAGGCCGCCUUUGCUGCUUUCCUCUGCUGUCUCUGCAAGAUCGGGGUGCUCCGGGUAGACGACCAGGUGGCUAUUGUCUUCAAGGUGUUUGAUAGGUACCUCGAGGUUAUGCGGAAGUUGCAGAAGACGUACAGGAUGGAGCCUGCAGGCAGCCAGGGCGUGUGGGGUCUGGAUGACUUCCAGUUCCUGCCCUUCAUCUGGGGCAGCUCACAGCUCAUAGACCACCCCCACCUGGAGCCCAGACAUUUUGUGGAUGAGAAGGCGGUGAGCGAGAACCACAAGGACUACAUGUUCCUUCAGUGCAUCCUGUUCAUCACUGAGAUGAAGACCGGCCCCUUUGCAGAGCACUCCAACCAGCUGUGGAACAUCAGUGCUGUCCCCUCGUGGUCUAAAGUGAACCAAGGCCUCAUCCGCAUGUAUAAGGCGGAGAAAGGGGGAGAAGACUCUUACCUUCUUCCUCCCUGUCUCCACGGCCCCUCUCGGCUUGAGCACACUAGUCCUUGGAACUGCUGCUCUUUGACCUUGCGCAGCCCGCCUGCCCCCCAGCCUCUGGCCUUGUCCUGCUGAUGCCCGUCUCUGAUUCUUGACAACAUCAUCCCUUCUCUUCUGGAGAAGUCAAGUUUCACUGGGCUCAGAGCUCACCCUAUCCAUCAUCAGAGUGCCUGGAGAAGUUCCCUGUGAUCCAGCACUUCAAGUUCGGGAGCCUGCUGCCCAUCCAUCCUGUCACAUCAGGCUAGGAGAGCCUGAGCCACCAGAGCCACCCUGGCCAGGUUCCUGUCCCUCUGACCCAGCACCCUCCACCCACCUUGUGUUCUUUCUGUUUGAUGAGAUGCUCUUUACUGAGAUGGGUGCUGAACAGGGCCUGAGUCGUGGGAAUUGACCGAAGUGUGGCCAGUUUCUGACUGUCCGUCUGCUGGGCAAGCAAGAAGAGGGCUGGGACGUGGUCUCAGGGCCCUGCCCAUCCCUGUCCUCCUCGCUUCCUUCCUCUCUUGCCCAGGCCCAUGUGCAGACAAGGGCGGCCUGCUCUUCCCAUUGCUUCCCUUUUCCCAUGAUGGGACUCCUCGUUCAGAGAGGAGUGCUGCACCUCCGGAGCAGCUGGUCAGCUUCCCCGAGCUGUGUUCCUUCCACUGGCUGUCUGCUGUGGGGCUGGAGGCUGAGGCUGUCAGCAGCUGGGGAGGGCUGAGGGUGAGAUGAUGAGGUUGGCCUUCUCAAGGUAGCCUCCUAGGCCCUGAGGUUACCUGUGCCCAGCCUCAUUCUGGCUUCUGUUCCCUGGCCCUUGGAUUUGCUGGGUUUCCUGACUCUUAGUAAUGUUCCCCUUCCUGGGGGUAGCCUAGCUAUGGAAGCUUCCCUGGGCUCCUGGGAAAGCCUGUAGAAUGGGUGAGGACUGUCUUUCCAGAAUUGUCUCCGGCAGGGAGAGAAUGGUAGAGACUCAGGGAGGCACUAGGGCUCUUGUGUGUGGAGAACCUGGUUUCCUCCGGUCAGUCUUAGGCCUGACCAGUGCUGUCCCUUCCUCCCUGCUUCCGUGGCCUUGAGCUUCACCUGAGGCCCUUGCUUGCUGCUCUGCUCCCUUGGGUCGGUCUGGGGCUGGUGUGAGAUGGCAGGGGAGGCGGCAGCCCUCUCUUCCGACCCUUUAUGAGAUGAGGCAAGUGUACCCUGGCCCUGGGCACAGACUCAGAAUGGGCAGAACUGCCGAGGGGACCUAGCCCCAGUCAGCAGUUUUCCCCCAGUGCUGUGGCUGAGCUGGUACCUGCAGGCUUCCCUGCCACCCUCCUCCUGUCCUUCUGCACUGCUCAUCCUGUGUCUGUGUCCACGGAGCUUUGGGGAGUGGACACAGAGAGCACAGCCCAGGGCCUUGGCCAGAGCUUAGCAAUGGUCUGCACAGAGCUGGGACUGCAGUCAUCGGUGUCACAGGUCGUUUCCCAGGAAAGACCCAGUGCCAGCCUCCCUUCCAGGGCCAGGCCACCACCUUCCUGGGUCCCUAGCCCUGUGCCUCUCCCUCCGCUGUCCCUGGGUCCCUAGGCCUGCCUCCCUUGCUGUUUGGAUUAAAGCCUCUGUUUUACACCUGG